AGUUGUUUGGGAAUGCAGCUCUAAGUGGGUGGUAAAUUCCAUCUAAAGCUAAAUAUUGGCGAGAGACCGAUAGCGAACAAGUACAGUGAUGGAAAGAUGAAAAGAACUUUGAAAAGAGAGUGAAAAAGUACGUGAAAUUGUUGAAAGGGAAGGGCUUGAGAUCAGACUUGGUAUUUUGUAUGUUACUCUCUCGGGGGUGGCCUCUACAGUUUACCGGGCCAGCAUCA
rnacentral:rRNA from 1 species